rnacentral:rRNA from 1 species
GACGAACGCUGGCGGCGUGCUUAACACAUGCAAGUCGAACGGUGAUGCAGAGCUUGCUCUGCGGAUCAGUGGCGAACGGGUGAGUAACACGUGAGUAACCUGCCCUUGACUCUGGGAUAAGCGUUGGAAACGACGUCUAAUACCGGAUACGACCCGUGGAGGCAUCUCCUACGGGUGGAAAGAACUUCGGUCGAGGAUGGACUCGCGGCCUAUCAGCUUGUUGGUGAGGUAAUGGCUCACCAAGGCGACGACGGGUAGCCGGCCUGAGAGGGUGACC